CGUAAACAAGACUGUGGUUCUCUCGUCACUCCAGGAGUAGAGCAGAGCAGAAGGGCAGUCGACACAGAAGAGGAAAAGCAGCACUGACGUGACACUACAGCUAUAGAAGAUGGUGUUGAAGCCAAAGCGAUGCCAUGGACCACUGUGAAUCAGCCACUUGCACAGAAAGCUGUUCAACAGCCAUCACAGACAUUUCAGCUGCCAAGCAUAGUGCUGAUUUUCAGUUCUCAGCAGCAGCACUUGUCGACAGACAAAUGUUGUUCAGAAAACUUAUUGCAAAAAUUUUUUGAUGAAUAUUGUCAAGACUGUGAAUGGGAAAACCAAUGUAGUCAAGUCACAGGAGAGUUGGAUGCGAUGGUUAGUAGAGUUGAGGCCUAGCAAGAACAGCAAGCAGCCAAGUAAAUUAGCAACUAAGACAGAAGAAGUACUGGGAGAGAAAGGGUAGAUAGAAGGAUUACAUGUGGCCAAGAUCUUAAGUCACAUUUGACCAUGCAGACAUUGAGACACCUUAACAAAUGGGAGCCCCGAAACACUCUGAGUGAAUAUAUUAAUGUGAGCUUAAGGCUUAUUAUUUGAAUGUCUUUUUGGCAAAAAGUAAGACCUCCCAUCUGGUUCAAAACUGAAAAUAAAACAUGACAGUGGUUCAUACAAAGCUCCAGCCAUGAUGUCAUCUCAUUGUUUCAAGUGAAGCUUCAGUGAUAAUGUUGUCAAAAGUGAUGCUGGGUGUCAUCUUGUCCCUCAUCAUCCUUCUGACUGUUGGUGGUAAUGUGCUGGUGUGCCUGGCUGUCUGUGCCUCUCGACGCCUCCGUUGCCUCACUAACUGCUUCAUUGUGUCGCUGGCUGUGACAGACCUCCUGCUUGGCCUCCUGGUCCUCCCUUUCUCCGCCCUCCUCCAGCUCAACAAUGAGUGGCCGCUUGGCCCGUUCUUCUGCAACUUCUACAUCUCCAUGGAUGUCAUGCUGUGCACCGCCUCCAUCCUCACCCUCCUGGCUAUCAGUGUGGACCGCUACCUGGCAGUGACCAUGCCUCUACGAUAUGCCUCGCUGGUGUUGCCAUGGAGAGUUGCGGUGGCCAUGGCCAGUGUUUGGACAGUGUCUGUGGCCGUGUCUUUCUUGCCCAUUCAAAUGGGAUGGAACACUGUUAAUGGGACAGUGCAGAACAAUGGGCCUUGGGCUACAGAGAGGCAAUGUCGUUUUGAGCUGAACAGACCCUACGUACUGACUGACUCUCUUCUUACUUUCUAUCUGCCUCUGAUGGCUAUGUGCUGGACCUACCUCCGAAUACUUCGCAUUGCACGUACACAGGCCAAGCGCAUUGUCAGUGCUCGACCCACUUGUGUCAAUAGCUACAACUGCAGGAACAAUCCUUCUACGGGUACCACUGUGGUUCCCAGUGUUACAGCAGUGGCUCUGCGGGAACACAAAGCCACUGUAACACUGGCAGCAGUAAUAGGGGCUUUUGUUGUGUGCUGGCUACCUUAUUUCAUCCUGUUCACAGUGCUGGGCCUAAAGGAGCACCCGGACCCUAGCACAGUACCAGAGUUUCCAAUUGUGUUGUGGCUGGGUUACGCCAACUCAGCCCUCAACCCUAUCCUCUAUGGAGCCCUCAACAGGGACUUCAGGUCAGCCUAUGCCCAUCUACUGAGAUGUCGAUGCCCUACUUACAGUGGGUGGAGGAGCCGACAGCCGUCUCCCACUGUAACACCAGUUUCUCCAGUUUUUAUUUUUCCUUUCCUUCUCUCUAUCUCAGCGAGAGAGCAGCUUACAGAGGUGACAUUGCUGUGCGGUCACACCCCUACCACAUGCAGGGCAGGUUUUACAGAUCAAAACGUCAUGCUGCAAGAAAUGAACUGUAGGGAAACUACAGCAACUAUCCAGUUUACAAAUGGCACUGCUGCCACAGAUGUCAAUGGCAAUGAAAGGUCGUGCUGAACCUGUGCAAGUGAGGUGGAUGCUGUGUUCACUACACUAUUGUUACAACAUAGAACCAGAAUCCAUCCACAGGAGAAAACACACCAGACAAACAAAAAGAUGGACCGAGAUUUACAGCCCCUCUAUUUGGAAGGUUUCAGUGCCACAGCAGAAGCAUAUAAUACACCAUAAUUCACUCUGCCGAUAAUUUAACAAACAAAAAUGUGAGAAUAUAGGACCUCAGCAACUCCACACCUCAUCAGCAAGAACCAACUGUACGCACACAGCCGGCCUCGAUCCAUCCGGGAUCGAACAAAUGAAGAUGCUUCUACGUGGAUGAAGCUAAAACACGAGUUGUCUAACACAAUUAGUCAACUGCAUCCAAGCAUUACACAGGGCAACGAGUGGCCCUGACAUGUUCUUGUACUAACUGUGGUUGUUAUAGCAGCUCUGGACACUGAAUGAGACCAGCCAGUUAACUUGUUGGUAAUCAAUCUCAUGAAGUACACUUUUUAUGCUGACUCAAGACUGCACUCAAGUGGAAACACAAAGUAUCACAACUUCAACAAAGUAAAUUACUUCUAAUUAAAAAUUGGUGUUUCACAAAAUCAGGGAAUGGAAGGGAAAAAGUGAUAAAUGGACUUUCGAAUUUGUUGAAAUGUAUGACAUUUGAAUGUUGAGCAUGCAAACUAAUUUUAUGUGUCACUUUUGAAGAAUGUAGCUGCCUCCAGACUUUGUCUUUAUCGUUGCUCAUUCAGUGGCAUAAAGCUGGCAAAUGUAUGUAUUGUAUCAUACAGAAAAACGACUGAGGGCUGAAAAAUGAACUGUUCCUCUAAAACUGAAAAUUACAACUAUACUGUACCAAUA